UACGGAGGGUGCAAGCGUUAUCCGGAUUCACUGGGUUUAAAGGGUGCGUAGGAGGGCAGGUAAGUCAGUGGUGAAAUCUCCGGGCUUAACCCGGAAACUGCCAUUGAUACUAUCUGUCUUGAAUAUCGUGGAGGUAAGCGGAAUAUGUCAUGUAGCGGUGAAAUGCUUAGAUAUGACAUAGAACACCAAUUGCGAAGGCAGCUUACUACCCGAAUAUUGACACUGAGGCACGAAAGCGUGGGGAUCAAACAGG
rnacentral:rRNA from 1 species